AAUCUGUCAAAAACGUCAAAAACGAUCCGUCGCCGACCGACACGACCGACGUCGCCGCCAAAACAAAUUAAUAAACAGCUGCGUGUUCACCGCGUUAGGAUAUUAAAAUUUUUACGUGAAAUUCGUUUAAUUUCUAGUGUAGAAUACCAAAUAUUCCGCCGAAAAAGUCCGGAACCGCGAAAAAAUCUCGAACUCGAUCGAUCAAGACUUGAUCACUUAGUGAAAACUUAGAACCGGAGUGUAAAGUACCUACUUUGAUUCCGAAAACGGGUUCGGCUACAUGAGCGAAACAGUAAACCGAAUCAGGAUUUCACUGCCACAACGGGACCAGAUACGCUCCUUCCUCCGUUUAUCCCUUCGUCUUUCCCGACCUUUCGAAAAAACUGGUGAGCUUGGUAGAUAAGACGGUGAUACGCCACAUGUUUCGGUUUGCUACUGCUUCCUCGGGACAUCGCCGCCUCCUUGUCACCUGUGCUCCACAUCGUCCACAAUCUAUGCAGGAUUACCAUCCGGCAUAUGUGCAGUAUGCCCUGCCCAUCGUAUCCGUCCGGCUUUGAUCAGUUUCCAGACCACAGCUUACCGCAGAGUACAGAGAGCUCAUGGUUGAUUCUUCACUGCCACACACCGUUCUCCUCGAGUAUGGUCCGUAUAGUGAGCACCGGGUUUUUAAGCGUUUUUACAUGGUACAUCAGGUGCGGGCAUGAAUCGAGAAAUUCCAUAUCACCACUAUUAACCAUGGCUAGCCAGCUCUAAUUUGAUUAUUUAUAUUUUAUUUUAUGUUCUGUAUUUAUAUGUGAAUAAAUAGUUUUGCUUGGGGGGUA